AUACGGAGGAUGCGAGCGUUAUCCGGAUUUAUUGGGUUUAAAGGGAGCGUAGGUGGGAUAUUAAGUCAGCUGUGAAAGUUUGGGGCUCAACCUUAAAAUUGCAGUUGAUACUGGUUUCCUUGAGUACGGUACAGGUGGGCGGAAUUCGUGGUGUAGCGGUGAAAUGCUUAGAUAUCACGAAGAACUCCGAUCGCGGAGGCAGCUCACCGGGCCGGAACUGACACUGAUGCUCGAAAGUGCGGGUAUCAAACAGGAUUAGAUACCCUGGUAGUCCGCACAGUAAACGAUGAAUACUCGCUGUUUGCGAUACACGGUAAGCGGCCAAGCGAAAGCGUUAAGUAUUCCACCUGGGGAGUACGCCGGCAACGGUGAAACUCAAAGGAAUUGACGGGG
rnacentral:rRNA from 1 species